UUAAAGUGCAUUCAAUGAAGUAACAUGUACCAAUCCACAUAUGUUGACCAAUGACAUUGAAAGUCAAAGUCAAACAAUCAAAAACAGAAGUGAGCUAAAGAUUGGAAAUCAAGAAAUGAACAAAAUACUUUUUGCAUUUUUUAAUAUUUAAAAUAAACUUGAAUUAAAAAUAAAAGAAAAGGUUAAACUUCAAAAUUACUUCAAAUCAACCUUGAAAGGUCCAAG
rnacentral:lncRNA from 1 species